UGCAGGUUCAGUUUGUAGGUGUUUGGAUUUGCAGCUGUGGACACAAGGCAAAUGAUUUUAUGGGCAUCUUUUCAAGACCACUUCCUGAGCAAUGUUUGAAGCAGGGGCUGGCCUGGUCACAAAUACUCCUGUAAACCAUCCAGAUCCCUCCCUGAAAAAAAAGCUUUGAGCUUCUGUUCCUCUGGGAACAGACUGGCAUUCUGCCUCCCAAUCUGCAGCUUUAAAUGCCUCUGGUCUGCCCUGAAAGUUUGCUCCAUAGCCAGUCUGACACCUCUGAUAUGACAGGACUCUGGGAAACUGAGCACCAUCAGUGACUGCCAGACAUUGCAGGGCAUCAUUUAAAAUGCAAUUAACAUUAACAUUAACAGGUUCUGCAGUUCUCCAUAGAGAGAGAGGAAAGGCUGCUGACCUGGUGCCUGAAGUUGUGAGUAGAGACUUAAAAGUUAAACAAGACAGACACAGUGUCUUCGUGAGCCUCGAGAGAAAAUAUGCAUCUGACAGCAAGAUGGGACCACAUUGAUACAGGAGAACAGAUAUAAGGUAGCAUUUUUCAGUGGCUCACAGCUACUUCAAACAUGAAGCGCUUUUCCUUGGUCCAACAAAAUUCACUUCCUUGAUGCCUGAAUAAUGUUAAAAGUGACAAGUAAGUAUCAAGGUCCUUUUGCAAAGCUGUCUGAGAUUUUCAAGAACAAUCAGAAAAAUGGACAAUAGAAAGAUCUGUGUCUUGAAUCCCUUCUGAUCUUUGAAGAGUUUUUUAUUUCUGCAGUUGAAAACAAGCAUUUAAAGUUGGCCUGUAGGAAAAGUCUGUGCUAACCCUGUAAAAAUUGUAUUACAUAUACCUCUUGUAUGUACUCAUGUGAGAAUACUGCAUUCCUAAUCGUGUUGUUCUUUGGCACAGUCCAAACAAACAUCAGCACAUUCUUAAUACAUUAUUUUCUGAGCUUGGCUAAAUAAGCAAAAGAUAAAUCUACUGGUAAUGCAAUUAAGUCAUAAUUAUACAGAAAUACAUAUGCAAUUACUUUCCCAUCCUCAUUAAAGUUGAAUGAAUGCUUAGGGGUUUAACUAUCUUUUAACUACAGAGCAAAAGAAAUUUAAU
rnacentral:lncRNA from 1 species